GGGCCCGCACAAGCGGUGGAGUAUGUGGUUUAAUUCGAUGCAACGCGAAGAACCUUACCAGGGUUUGACAUCCUGCGAAUCUCUUGGAAACAGGAGAGUGCCUUCGGGAACGCAGUGACAGGUGGUGCAUGGCUGUCGUCAGCUCGUGUCGUGAGAUGUUGGGUUAAGUCCCGCAACGAGCGCAACCCACGUCUUUAGUUGCCAGCAUUUAGUUGGGCACUCUAGAGAGACUGCCGGUGAUAAACCGGAGAAGGUGUGGAUGACGUCAAGUCAUCAUGCCCCUUACAUCUGGGCUACACACGUACUACAAUGCUACGGACAAAGGGCUGCAAGUUCGCGAGGACAAGCAAGUUGGCCGCCCUCUGUAUG
rnacentral:rRNA from 1 species